rnacentral:lncRNA from 1 species
AGGAAUUUAAAAAGAUAAAUUUUCAUGUUUUAUGAAUAAAUGAGUUUCAAUGAAAUUAAAUUAUAAAUUGUUUUGAAAUUAAUAGUGAUUUUGAAAAAUAGAGUACACGGAGACUGUUAAUUGUGGCAAUUUGAUUGUUUAAAUUAACUGGCUUAUGAUAAAUCGAGCAUGAUUGGCUAGUUGGCAAUUGUAUUGAAAUGCGAAUUGUUUGGUUACCUUGAAAAACUACGAAUUACAAAAUUGCCAUAUCAUGUUAUUGAGUUUUAUUAUAUGGUGGAUUAUAUAUUAAUUAAUCACUGCAGUAGGGGGUUUCUGUGGACCAGCCUUUUAGAGGGGUACGAUAAACCCCAUUAUAUUCUUACCUCGAAUGGAGAGGCGCGUAGGGUAUCUCCUGGGGUAAAGUUUAGGGUUCACUUCACGCUAAACCACCACGUGAGGGGGAACUCAGCCAACGCCAAGGAACGACUAUGUUUUCAAAACAAAAACAUGAUUUAUGUGAAAUGUGAAUUUUAAUAGCCUUGGU